GGUUGUAUAGUGUAGCGGUUAUCACUGUAAGCUCUCCUCUUCCGGUAACCCCGGUUCGAACCCGGGUACGACCU
rnacentral:tRNA from 1 species